rnacentral:tRNA from 1 species
GCCCCUGUAGCUCAGUGGACAGAGCGGCGGUUUCCUAAACCGCGAGUCGCCGGUUCGAGUCCGGCCAGGGGCCCCA